ensembl:processed_transcript
UGUUUUUAUCUUUCAGUGGAAGUAAAAUAUAACCUGAAAGAAAAUAUUGGAGCUGGCUGCUACGGCAAUGUCUAUCGUGGUAUCAGAAUAGUGGACGGCAAACAGUUUAUCAUCAAGUCGACUUUUUCAGAAGUUGACAGCAAUGUGCCUGGAUAUCCGUUACCCAUACCAAUCGAAGUGGCCAUGAUGACAAUUGCGAGAGAUCCCCCAAGCCCGCUGCUCAUCAAGCUCCAGGAAUGGUUUUUAGUUAAAGUGGAGAAAUUGCCAAGAGGAGUAGGUGUAUUUAUACAGCACAUUUCAUGCACAAUGCGCUGCAGGAGGGUUUGUCUCGUUUCUUAUUGUCGUUUUAAUUUUGUAAAUUCAAAUUCCUAAAUCAAGAAGCAUUUCUGGACAUGUAAAUAACUUUGUCUUGUUUUC